GAUCUCUAUCCUUCUUAGGCAAUUUUCUUUUCUGAUUGAUUAUCGUUUUUUUAUUUCCGGUCUUAGUAUUAGAUAAAAAUAUAC
rnacentral:tRNA from 1 species